AUGGGCCUUCCCUGCGUCACCUUCUGGACGUCGAGCGCGUUCGCCUUCAUGGCCUGCCAGCAGUGCCAGCGGCUUGUCGACAUGGGCAUUGUCCCCCUCAAAGAGGCUGAGCAGCUGAGGAAUGGACACCUGGACGACACGGUCCUGGACUUGGUGCCGGGGAUGCCCAAAGACAUCCGCCUCAGAGACUUCCCGAGCUUCAUCCGCACGACGGACCCCGACGACGCCAUGCUCAAAAUCCUCCUGCGCUCAAUGGCGUGCCACAGGACCACUCCGUCCGCCGUCAUCUUCCACACCUUCGACGAGAUCGAUCGCGAGGCCAUGGCGGCCAUGUCCACCAUCCUGCCACCGAUCUACGCCGUCGGACCAUUGCCGCUCCUUCUCGAUCAAGUUUCUAGCACCACUGCCAGUGUGGUUGACACGUUAGAAUCAAAUCUAUCCAAGGAGAACUACGCCUGCCUAGAGUGGCUGAAUGGCAAGGGGCCAAACUCGGUGCUCUACGUGAGCUUCGGCAGCAUAGCAACGCUGACGAGGGAGCAACUGGUGGAGUUCGCGUGCGGUUUGGCCAAUAGCAAAAAGGACUUCCUGUGGGUGAUCAGAAACGAUCAAGUGAUCAACGGCGACGACGACCCCGCUGCCGCCGCCGUGCUGCCACCGGAGUUCCAGGAGGAGACGAAGGCGAGGAGCCACGUGACGAGCUGGUGCCCGCAGGAGGCGGUGCUCCGUCACGAGGCGACGUGCGCGUUCCUGACGCACUGCGGGUGGAACUCCGUCCUGGAGAGCAUCGGCGCCGGGGUGCCGAUGCUCUGCUGGCCCUUCGGCGCCGACCAGUACACGAACACGAGGUACGUUUGCUCGGAGUGGCGCCUCGGCUUGGAGAUCGGCGGCGGCGAUGUCAAGAGGGACGAGGUGGAGGCGGCCAUCCGGGAGGUGAUGGAUGGAGGAGACAAGGGAAAAGCGAUGACGAGAAUGGCCAUGGAAUGGAAGGAGAAGGCGACCGCGGCUGCACUGACGGGUGGGCCCUCUUGGGUCAAUCUAGAGAAGGUGGUCGAUGAGGUGCUUGCUGUGCAUCCUAGCAAGAUUAGUGAUACGGAAUCAUGA
rnacentral:rRNA from 1 species